AGACAAUAAUAGCCGCUCCUUCUCCCUCUACACCAAAAGCCACCAUCACCGUCUGGCCCUUUUUCCUUUCUGUCAUUGCUUCGCCUCUCUAAAACCUCCGACGAACCGACGCCACAACACUCAACUGCCGCCGCCGCCUCAUCCUCUUCUCCAUCUCAAGCCGCGAUCAACAACAGUACCGUAACGCCGCUCUACUGUCGACUGGUGUCCAGCUAAACCAGGUCACCGACGAGCCACUAAUCGUCGCCUUCCUCCCCAUCGUUGCCUCCCAAUAGUUAAACCAGCGGCGCAACCACCAACGGCCAUCUAACAGCUGCCAUGCAGCUGUUCACCAACCCUCGUCGCCGUAGCGAUAGCCAAACCAAUGCCGCCUCAUUUGUCGGAAAAUGAUGGGUUCUUGGGAAUCCAUCCCAGGUUUGAUUUGUGUUUAAUUUGUAUGUGUAAUUUUAGUUAUCUUCUACCCCUUCUUUUCUUUUUCUUUGGAUAUAUUCUAUUGUGUAAAAUUGACGGAGGUUGAUUUGAGGUUUUUGGUUUAAUUUCUGGUGAUUUGUGCUUGUUAACUUGCCUAGCCUAUCAUAUAAUAAACUUCUCAAUUUUGUGAACUUUGAUUAAUCCUAAUUUGUCACUAAGACGUUGAUUUUGGUCAAUCAUAAAUUUCCUAGUCUUUUACACACGAAUGAGAACCUGUUGAAUAUUGCUUUAUGGAGCUCUAUUGUGGAAUUCCUAUUUUGACGCUUAAUUAUGGGCUAGUAUGUCGUGGGAUCUCUAUGAUUAAUGUGGUGGUCAUGAUUUGCCUCAAUCCUUUGACAUAAUCAAGUCUUUUCUUUCUAAAUUAGAUUUUUAACAAUCUCGUGUGUAAUUACGGUAGUGAUUUGAGAUUUUUUUUGCUCUGUGUAAGUUAUUUGGUGGUGUGACAGCUUAUUUUUAUGCAUGCAGUUUCUAUUUUGCAUGCAGGUUUUGUGUUCUGGAUAUGAUGUAACUUGAUUCUUCAAUCUAUGUGUUAUUAUCUAAUACAUUUGCUGGUUUGCAAAACUGAGAUGGUAUUGGAACUAUGAGGGAAAUGAUGCAUAGCAGGGAUGUCAAGAAAGUUUCUGAAUCCAGUUGGUUUUAAAUAUCAAGAAGGCUUUAAAUGUCAAGAAAAAGAAUCCUAUGGUGUAAUUUGGAUUCUUCUAUUUUGUAUGUAGUUUUUGUGUGUGCAAUUUAUUUGAUUAUAAUGUUUUGUCUCGCAAGAAUUGCAUGAGCUGUAUUUGGCCUUUUUGUUUUUGAAUUUUUUCUAUUGGUACUAUUCUCGGCUCGUGAUUGUAAAUAAAUCAUCUCAAAUUUAAGUGACACACUGUCCCGUAAAUAAUUUUUACACCAUUAGAUUAUUUUAUUUGUACUAAAAAUAGAGAAGAAAUAUUAUUUCACUUGCUUUAAUUUACUUUAGAUCCUUAAUAACAUAAAAAUUGCAGAUUUUGUAUGCAGUUUCCUACAUUCUGGUUAUGUAUGCAGAUUUUGUCCAUUCAACUGCAAUUUGGUGUUUGGAUAUUGUACAUUCUGGUACAUUUUGAUUGUGUAUGCAGUUUCUAUGCAAUUUGAUCAUGGCAACUAAGAUCAAAAUUUGUGUAUGUAGUUUCUAUUUUGUGAAUUACUGGGUGUCUGGAUAUACAUUCAGGUUGUGUAUGCAGUUUCUAUACAAAUUAGAGUGAAUAAUGAUAUUUCUUUAAAAUGUAUUUCAGAAGAAUUCUUAUUGGAAUGCUUCCGUUAGUGAAACUGUGGUGAAGCAAUAAUGGUUAGAGAAGGCUGCACUAUGCUACAGAAAUUUCAUUUCUAAUUUAAAGAAACACAGAGUUACAGUUUAACCGGAUUAAGCGUGUUGAUGGUAUUAGGGCACAAGAAGGGGCCGUGCUUGAUCCUCCUACUAAUGAUGAUAACGUUGAUUCAUAGCUUCAUAGUAUUCGUAAUGAUGAUAACGUUGAUUCAUAGCUUCAUAGUAUUCGUAGUUCUUCAUCGUUGCAUUAUUUUUGAUAGACUAUUAUGUGUGGAAGUACAAAAUAGUUGUGUAGUAACAAAUACUAAUUUUGAUGAAUGUGGGUUUGACAUUAGUUUAUUUUGAUAAAAUAUUUGAACUUGUGGAUGUUUGGACAUAGUUAUUGUACAUUUUGCUAUCUAUAUGAAUGUUGGUUAUUUUAAUUAUUCAAUAAUUUAUGCUUUUCAAUAAUUUACUUACAUAAUUAUUAGAGACAAAAUAAUAGUGACUAACUUCUGUCGUUGCUAGUGAAAAACUUUAGAGAUGGAUAAAUUUGGUCGAUAAAGACAGCAGCUUAGUCGACCAAACUAUGUUGCAACGGAUCAGCGAUAAAUUAUUCCGUCGUAAAUUUAGCCACGAUAAAAGUCAAUAUUGG
rnacentral:lncRNA from 1 species